GCGGGUGUAGUUUAGUGGUAGAACAUCAGCUUCCCAAGCUGAGAGUGCGAGUUCGAUUCUCGUCACCCGCU
rfam:Actinobacteria bacterium OV320 ctg36, whole genome shotgun sequence.